AGUUAUUUAUUCAAAGUAUAUAAAAAAAAAGCUAAGAAGUAGAAGAACUGAAAUUCAAAUUUGGUUCUCAUAACUAAGUUCAGGAUUCUCCACCCACCCAAAUGUCUGCACUCACUUUUAUAUUUUGAAAACUUUUACUUGGCCUCUAGAGCCCUAGUAUGUUAAUCUAAAAUUUUCCCAAGUGUACUUUAUUGGUUGCUGAGAAGUAUCUGAUGUACUGUCCAUACUGGCUAACAUGUGUUUGUAAUGUUUUCCACUGCACUCUCCUCUUGUCAAACUCUUUUGAGUUCUCUACCUUUAAGACAUUAUUCAUUUUUUUUUCUUUUCCAGGAUUUCAUUUCCUGAGCAAUAUUUUCAAUGCUGGCAUUCCUUUUCCCUGUCUCAUCUUUUGAACUAAUCAGUUUCCCAGCUGUUACUGCACAAUAGUCUCCCAGCUCACUAAAUCAAACAAUAUGAGGAAUGGGUUACUGCCAUCCUUUUAUAGCUUCCUAUUUAUACAGAUGAGGAAACAGGUGUAAAGAAGGGAAAGCAUUUACUAAGGUUUCACAGGUUGCAUACUACCUUCUGUCUAUUCCUGAAGUGUCUUAAUGACUAAAGUUAAGGAUUAAGUAGAACUGAUGAAGAAAAAGGAACUAGAUAGCUCAGAGCAGAGAAUGCUGGUCCACCUUAGAUACUAGCUGUAUAACCAUGGGUUUUUUGAUUUAAGGCCCCUGGCAAAAAUGGAAAACUUAAAGAGAAGGAGCUUUAUAAGAAGAAGAAUUUGAGGAUCUUCAUUACGAGAAAGUUGACCUCACUACCUCUCCAUUGAGACAUAUAACCAUUUUGACCUUAUUUGGAGAUGCCGGAUUGAAUCUCUCAGAAGAAAUGAUGAGAAGAGAAUGGCACAUGAGCACUAAUUAACUGGUCAUCUAACUCAGCUUUGAAAUGAAUCUAUAAAUUAACUAACUCAUUUUAUUCGUACCAGACAAAAAUAUAUUCCCACAGAGAAAACAUUUGUUAUCCCCUCAGUGAAACCACUCAUAAGUUCAAUAAAGAAGGCAAAGUUCUUGAUAGAUGACAGGAUUAACAUAAAACAUAAUUCUAUAUGGAAUGACUUUUUCAUGUUAACAAGGGCAAAGCUUCUCAUCAAUAUUAAUGUAAGUGUUCUUAUCAUUUCAAAAUUUGAUGGACAGUCAGAUUCAUUUACAUGAUUCAAACACCUCCAUUCUUUUAUGUGUUCUAUCUAUAGCCUAUCUCUAUCUUAGUUUCUGUAAUCCUUUGUAACCUGUGAAUUUAAAUACCUAUCCUUUGGCCUUGAUAGGAUUAUAUCCAUCAAACAUAUAUUGGAUAUUUCUUGGUAAUUUUCUGAAAAAUUAGAUAGAUAUUAGAUAGGCUAGAAAUUGCAUCUAUCCAGUCUGUAUUUUAUAUAUUUUACUUUCAUUUUAGAGUAUCAUUAGGCAAAAAGGAAAUACACCAAUUUAUAUGUAAGAUUAAUUAAUGAAGUGAUCUUGGAAUGUACUUAAACUGGCAAGGUAAUGAAUUGAGAUUAGGGCUACUUCCAUUUUUCUCUUUGUAUCUACAGACUUUAGUACAAUGCUAUUUUGUAGGGUAAUGAAAAUGACUUGAAUAGAAGGGAAAUAAUAAAGAAAACACAAUAUUUGUGCCACCAAAAAAAAAGAAAGAAAAAAGCCAAUGGUCAUGACUCACUAGAAUGCUUCCUUCUUAAGAGAAAGGAUUCAUAUGAAAAUACUUAAUAUAUAAUAUAUAUGGAAUAAAGUUACAUUAACUGCAGAUAUAAUAGGCCACUAUAAAGACCCCAUGGUAUGUCAACAUAGAAUUAAAGUUGGGCAAGAGACUAAGAAGACCUCAGUUUAUACUAAUUGUGUAGCACUGGAUAAUUCACUUAAACUCUCAAUGCUUUAGACAACUAAAAUAGAAAGGUCCAGAAGAGAUUUUAACUGGCACUAGAAAAAGGAGUUCCUUUAACUGAGAAAUGUUCAUGCCAAUGAAAAUCCUUUCACCUGAUAUUUCCACUGUGUUGUGGAGGUGACCCAUAAAGUAGUGAAACUGAUGAGUUUUUUAAUCAGUUUCAGUAUUAUAAUCACAUACAGAACAUAUAAAAACCCUUAAUCAAAUGUGAAGUCUUAAUUUUUCUAAACUAAUAUUCUAAUGAAUCUGUUAUUACUAAUGUGGGCAUUUUCCCCAACAAAGCUAAUCACAGUGUAUCUUUGCCUAUUUAGCUCUCCCCUGAUACUAUUCCACUUCCCAUAAAUGUCACCCUAUCUAAUAGAAUGUUCUUCUUCCUCCUCAUAUAUUUUAUGGCUUAAGCAUGUGUAUGUACUUGCCUUAAGAAUUUAUUUCUGUAUUAGUACUUCUUUAUCAGGUUCUAAGGUAAGGGGAAAAAGGAAAUAGGCAUUUAUUAAGGACUUAUUAUGUGCCAAGUACUGUACUAGCUACUAAACUGUUAGAUUCAAAUACAACACUUCAAAAUAAAUAUGGUGAAGGAAAUAUUUGAAGGCAAUAUAUUCUGUGAAGGCAACAUAGUUUCAGAAACUAGUAGAUGCCCUGGGCUACAGUAUUUAGAAACAAAUCUACAUAGUAGUAGUAGUAGCAGCAACAGCAGCCACAGCAGCUGUAACACCAAGUAUGUAUAUGGUGUUUUAAAGUUUGGAAAAUAUAUAAUACAUUACAGUAUUUUCUAAUUUGAAGACUGCCUGUGACGUGGAUCGUUCUGGGGAAAUAUGACUAAAUGUUGGAUUUGGAUUCUAGGGAAAUUUUUAUAAGACUUUAGAAAAGUACUUAAUC